rnacentral:rRNA from 1 species
AUUGAACGCUGGCGGCAGGCUUAACACAUGCAAGUCGAGCGAGCGGCGGACGGGUGAGUAAUGUCUGGGACACUGCCUGAUGGAGGGGGAUAACUACUGGAAACGGUAGCUAAUACCGCAUACCAUCAGAUUUGCACAGAUGGGAUUAGCUUGUAGGUGGGGUAAUGGCUCACCUAGGCGACGGGCCCUAGCUGGGCUGAACGGAUGACCGGCAACACUGGAACGGAGACACGGCCCAGACUCCUACGGGAGGCAGAAGUGGGGAAUAUUGCACAAUGGGGGCAAGCUUGAUGCAGCCAGGCCGCGGGUGGGAAGAAGGCCUUCGGGUUGUAAAGCACUUUCAGCGAGGAGACGUUACUCGCACAAGAAGCACCGGCUAACUCCGUGCCAGCAGCCGCGGUAAUAC